AGGAUAAACGCUGGCGGCGUGCCUAACACAUGCAAGUCGAACGCGCUCUCCCGCUUCGGUGGGAGAGCGAGUGGCGGACGGGUGAGUAACACAUGGGUACCUACCUCACAGUGAGGGAUACCGGCGAGAAAUCGCCGACAAGACCGCAUAGCCUCGGUGCAAGCCGAGGAAAGCUCUUUCGAGAGAGGGAGCGCCACACGAGGAGCCUGCGCCCGAUUAGCUAGCUGGUGGAGUAACGGUUCACCAGGGCGACGAUCGGUAGCUGGUCUGAGAGGACGAUCAGCCACACUGGGAUUGAGAACGGCCCAGACUCCUACGGGGGGCAGCAGUGAGGAAUUUUCGUCGAUGGGGGCAACCCUGAACGAGCAACGCCGCGUGCAGGAAGAAGGUUUUCGGAUCGUAAACUGCUUUUCGUCGGGGAAGAGGAACGGACGGUACCCGAGGAAUCAGCCCGGCUAACUACGUGCCAGCAGCCGC
rnacentral:rRNA from 1 species